rnacentral:rRNA from 1 species
CCUACGGGAGGCAGCAGUGGGGAAUAUUGCACAAUGGGGGAAACCCUGAUGCAGCGACGCCGCGUGAGUGAAGAAGUAUUUCGGUAUGUAAAGCUCUAUCAGCAGGGAAGAAGAAAGACGGUACCUGACUCAGAAGCCCCGGCUAACUACGUGCCAGCAGCCGCGGUAAUACGUAGGGGGCAAGCGUUAUCCGGAUUUACUGGGUGUAAAGGGAGCGUAGACGGCUGUGCAAGUCUGAAGUGAAAGCCCAGGGCUCAACCCUGGGACUGCUUUGGAAACUGUGGAGCUAGAGUGCGGGAGAGGUAAGUGGAAUUCCUAGUGUAGCGGUGAAAUGCGUAGAUAUUAGGAGGAACACCAGUGGCGAAGGCGGCUUACUGGACAGUAACUGACGUUGAGGCUCGAAAGCGUGGGGAGCAAACAGGAUUAGAUACCCGUGUAGUC